rnacentral:rRNA from 1 species
AUUGAACGCUGGCGGCAGGCCUAACACAUGCAAGUCGAGCGAAGCGGGGACGGGAGAGUAACACGUGGAUAACCUCCUAUAAGACUGGGAUAACUUCGGGAAACCGGAGCUAAACCGGAUAAUUAUAGAUGGCUCCGCGCGGCAUUGGCUAGUUGGUAAGGUAACGGCUUACCAAGGCAACGAGGAAUAGCCGACCUGACAGGGUGAGCGGCCAAACUGGAACUGAGCCACGGUCCAGACUCCUACGUGAGGCAGCAGUAGGGAAGCUUCCGCAAUGGGCGAAAGCCUGACGGAGCAACGCCGCGUGAGUGAUGAAGGUCUUCGGAUCGUAAAACUCUGUUAUUAGGGAAGCGGUACCUAAUCAGAAAGCCACGGCUAACUACGUGCCAGCAGCCGCGGUAAUUC